GACAGAGGCCUCGAGCGUUAGGCGGAAUCACUGGGCUUAAAGCGUGUGUAGGCGGGCCCGUAAGUGUCUUGUGAAAUCCCACGGCUCAACCGUGGAGCUGCUGGGCAUACUGCGGGUCUUGGGCCAACUAGGGGCAGCCGGAACAAGCGGUGGAGCGGUGAAAUGCGUAGAUAUCGAGAGGAACACCAGAGGUGAAGACGGGUUGCUGGGCUGACACUGACGCUGAGGCGCGAAAGCCAGGGGAGCAAACGGG
rnacentral:rRNA from 1 species